rnacentral:lncRNA from 1 species
UGGUUAAAUAAGCUAUCUCUCCUCUUGAUACUUUGGACAAUGUGAGACAACCAGAAGGAGGAUAUUAGGUCAUAGGUGGUCGUCGGUCAAGUCAUAAUGGUUCAAACACACAAGAUUAGUUUUGAGUCUUUCAGAAAUUAGUAUACCAGCUAGCAUGGUUCAAUUUACUUUUGUUGUAGCCUUUUCUAUUUCCUUUUUAUCUUG